GGCCUUUUGAUUAUAAUUUUAGGUCUAACCUGCCCACUGAAAAUUUAAAUGGCCGCGGUAUUUUGACCGUGCAAAGGUAGCAUAAUCAUUAGUUUUUUAAUUGAAAGCUGGAAUGAAUGGUUGAAUGAAAAAAUUACUGUCUCAAAUUUAUUAAUUAUAAUUUUAUUUUUAAGUUAAAAAGCUUAAAUUAAUUUAAAAGACGAGAAGACCCUAUAGAGUUUAAUAAAUAAAUUUUAUAAAAUUUUUAGAAUUAUUAUUUUUAUAUUAAUUAAUUUAUUUAGUUGGGGUGACUAAAAAAUUUAAUUAACUUUUUUUUAAAAAAACAUUAAUUUAUGAUUUUAUGAUCCAUUUUUUAUGAUUAAAAGAUAAAAUUACCUUAGGGAUAACAGCGUAAUUUUUUUGGAGAGUUCAAAUCAAUAAAAAAGAUUGCGACCUCGAUGUUGGAUUAAAAUUUAUUUUUGGUGUAGAAGCUAAAAUUUUAGGUCUGUUCGACCUUUAAAAUUUUACA
rnacentral:rRNA from 1 species